CCGUAGGUGAACCUGCGGAGGGAUCAUUACAGAGUUCAUGCCCUAACGGGUAGAUCUCCCACCCUAUGUUAUCAUCACUUUGUUGCUUUGGCGGGCCGUCAGGCCUCGGCUUGGCUACCGGCUCUCGCUGGUAAGCGCCCGCCAGAGAACCCCAAACCCUGAAUAUCAGUGUCGUCUGAGUACUAUAUAAUAGUUAAAACUUUCAACAACGGAUCUCUUGGUUCUG
rnacentral:misc_RNA from 1 species